CCUACGGGGGGCAGCAGUGGGGGAUAUUGCACAAUGGGGGGAACCCUGAUGCAGCGACGCCGCGUGGGUGAAGAAGCGCCUCGGCGCGUAAAGCCCUGUCAGCAGGGAAGAAAAUGACGGUACCUGAAGAAGAAGCCCCGGCUAACUACGUGCCAGCAGCCGCGGGAAUACGUAGGGGGUAAGCGUUAUCCGGAUUUACUGGGUGUAAAGGGGGCGCAGACGGCGAUGCAAGCCAGGAGUGAAAGCCCGGGGCCCAACCCCGGGACUGCUCUUGGAACUGCGUGGCUGGAGUGCAGGAGGGGCAGGCGGAAUUCCUGGUGUAGCGGUGAAAUGCGUAGAUAUCAGGAGGAACACCGGUGGCGAAGGCGGCCUGCUGGACUGCAACUGACGUUGAGGCCCGAAAGCGUGGGGAGCAAACAGGAUUAGAUACCCCAGUAGUC
rnacentral:rRNA from 1 species